AAAUUACAAAAACACCCCUAAUUGUAAAAUGAAACCCUAACCUAAAUCCCGUUUCAAUUUCCAUCCCCUUUCUCCUGAGCUCCAACCGAGAAGUGAAGGAAUCACAUGUCAAUCUCGCCGCCGGAAGCAGCGCCAACGAUCCCGUCGGGUAAGGUACGCCACAGCUUCUCUGAUGCUUGUCAAUUGCGCCGUCAGUUACUGGUGAGGCUCAGGUUGUUGUGUCGUUCCCCGCCUCUACCUCUACGUCUGCCUCGCCAGCGUUGCCGCCGUUCUGCUCUACGCUUUCCUCGGAGCUGUGUCUCUUCUCUCCUCUCCUUCUCUCUCGAUUGUCGCCGUUAUACUCAUGUAGGUUUGAAACUGAUUUUAAAGCUUACGUUGGUGUUUGGAAAGGGAUAUAUGCCCUGGAGGGAAAUAAACGGUUCAUAGUGAAGGAUCCUCGCAGAGCUCAUUUGUUUUACCUGCCAUUCAGUUCACAAAAGCUAAGAAUUACUCUUGCUGAACAAAAGCUUAAUGGUAAGCAGAUGGAGCAAUACCUAGAGAGGUAUGUGCAUUUAAUCGCAAGAAGAUAUCGAUUCUGGAAUAGAACUAGGGGAGCAGACCAUUUUCUUGUUGCUUGUCAUGACUGGGUGAAUGAAGAAGAAGCCUCCCUCUUUGAUGUGCUACAGUUAUUACUUGCAAGUGUUAUAUUUGUAUCAUUAUUUCAAAAACUUCCCAAAGUGAGUUUUGGAACCAUUGGAGACUAUGUUCUUUUUCUUGCACGUAGUAGUAUAAAGAUUUGAAGAGUUGGCCUUUAAACCAAUAUAGCCAGCCCCAGAAACCGAAGCUGCAAAACUUCCAGCAUACAUAUUUCUCAAACUGAAGGUUGAUCUGAUCUUGAAGGAGGCAUUGAUGAACUUGUGAACAAAAGAAUAAUAUAAUGGAAUGAAGGGAGAUGCUGAAAGAUGAUAGUAUUUACUAUUUAGUAAACUAUGGGCACUUGAAAGUGGAGAGUUGCAUAUAAAGCUACAAAGCCUUGAUCUCAUCGACGCUCAAUAGUAAAAAUGUAAAAUUACAUUAUUGUUAGCAUCAUGUUUUUAAAGUAAUUAUAAUUAUUUGUUAGAGUUUCUGCUAUGCUACUCUAGCAAUGCAAGUUGUAAGAUAGUAUAGUUUUAUUUUACAAGUUUGGCUGGAUGUGACAUUAUUGUGGACAUGUCGAAAACCUUAUUUACAAGUACUACAAAGUGCUAGGUGUUCAUUCAAUUACAUCUGAAAUCUCUGGCAUUUUGGAACUUAUUGGCAAUGAAAAUAACGUACCGUUUGCUUA